rfam:Triticum aestivum genome assembly, contig: Triticum_aestivum_CS42_TGACv1_scaffold_146388_2BS
UUUGUACUCCCUCUGUCUCAAAAUUCUUGUCUUAAAUUUGUCUAUGGAUGUAUCUAGUUACAUUUUAGUGUUAGAUACAUCCGUAUCUAAACAAAUGUAAGACAAGAAUUUUGGGACGGAGGGAAUACUAA